GACGAACCACGUGAUGAGAUUACACCACAAAGGAUGCUUAUCCAUAGGCCGAUAAACCCUACCCGUCCUGCUAACGAGAGGUGCACUACAGAGGACCAACGUAACUGUCACCUACGCGGCCUACCACACGAUCCAGCUAGACAGGGGAUAUCCACAAGUAAUCUAGGUCUAAGCACCACGCUUACACCUAUACUACAACUCUAACCUAUAGCGUCCUAUAGAUUAGAAGUACUCAAAAGAGUUGUGAACCAGAACAUACAUAAUUAGUAAUUGCAUAAUGAAUUAGAAGUAGAUUACCAGAGUCAUCCCAUGAGCAAGCUUGAUUAGAGCUUGAUCAUGAUGAAGUACAAUCGGAGGAAGAACCAACAGGCCGGCCUCUCCUCUAAUCCUCAUUCGCUCUCCAUCUUGCUACUAUCUAGAUCUACUCUAGUUUAGAGAAGAUAGGAGAGCUCUCAUCUCUAAACCCUAGCUUUUGCUCUGUCUAUGAAUAAUGAAUAAUGAUCAAGGGGUGCCUCCUCCAGGGGCCAGGGGGUCUGGUUUUAUAGUCCCCUCAAGUGAAUAUGGGCCGUUGGAUCAAACCGACAUAGAUUGAACGGUUAUCCUUGAUCCUUUAGGUCGGUGGAGAUCUCCCACGAAGCAGAGUCCUGAUUGGACUCUCAGAGGGGGCGGGUGCCCAGGGCAGGAGGGCGGGCGCCCUGCCUCUGGCCCCGUUUCGCCUCCGCUUCGGUCUCGUGGCUUCUGGAGUCUUCUAGAUGUAAGAUAAUUGCGCGGCACGUUAAUAUCUCUAUGUAAUCCCGACGUGUGGGCCUUUCUUCCGUAUUUCCUGAUAACCCCCUGCAGAAAUAGACAAACACCAAAACUCGUGGAAUUCUAUCAGAUAAAACCCUAAGUCUAGAUGUUGAUUUCAUUUAGAUCCUUUUCUUUGUUUAUUUGAUAAUUAAAUUUGAUACUUAAGGACCGUCAACAAACUCCCCCAAGCUUACCUCUUGCUCGUCCCUGAGCAAGGAUAGACUCAGCAAUGGAUCAGAAGUUGUUGCAAUAUCUUUAAAAAUUGACGGUACAUAUGCUUUUAAAUAAGAUCUCAUCUCUGAGUUAGAGUAAACUGUCAAGAACUAAAACUUACUUACUUUACCUUUCACCAUGGGACUUGUAACCGUCACUUCUGUCUUGAGUAGUUAAAAGAUAGAACAGUCUUGCCAAGUGCCAUGUCUCUUAUUCUUGAUCAGCUAUAGCUCUGGAGUUUUUGCAGAUUUUCAAAUAAAACUCAGAGAUUCCUUGUAUGACUCUCUAAAUCUCUCUUUUGUUGUAUUUCUGGAUCCUUACCAAGGCAGUGAUGGUAUAUGCCUUCUCUCAAUAUAUGUAGUAUUUGUGGUAUGAAGCAUAGUGACAUUGUCUUCUCUCUCACCCUACUCUAAUAAGGCUUUAAUAUCUGGAGCUCAUAGGUGGGAGAUAAAAUAUACAUACUUACAAGACAUUUAUUGUAUAGUCAAACCAUGGAUCGAAAAAAACAAAUCAUUAAGCCAAAUCAAGAUGUGCAUGUGUGGCGAAUGAAUGGUGUAUGGUGAUGAUGGUGGUAAUGGUGGAAGUCUAAUUCUACUUUUGCUCUUUCAAGGGGAUACAUACCUUUCUUGCUUUUUGAAACUUUGUGAGGAGAAUGAGAUGCUCUUCUUUUUAUUUUGUCUCAGAUGGGUAUCUUGUACCCCUAAUUCUACUGUCGGACACUUGUCCAUUUUUACCUCUCGUCUCACUUUUCCUUUCCUUUCGAGGUUCCAGGCACUUGCCCCUUUUUAUUUCCUCGUAUCUUUCUUUUUUUUUCUUUUUUUUUUCAAAGCACCCAUCUCUUGAGAUAAUAUAGCAAGUGGUAGUAACAAGAUAACUUGAGCAUUUAUUUCACAGGAGAAAAAACACAGAUGUUUUUGGCUAUUCUCUCCCGAAUUAGGAGUAGAAUAUUUUUAGGUGAUUCUGGAGGUGGAAAUGGAUGGAUAUAUGUGGAUGGUACUUCCGGAGUAGAAGUAGCAUAUAUGAGUGAACGUGCAAGUGAAUCUUGAUUUAACCACAUGACAAGCUCCUAAGGGUCUACACAGGUUGACCACACUCAAUGCUCAUAAGCAGUAAAUAGUAAAUGUGUGGCUCAAAGUCUAGCAAGCAUGUAUAUAUGGCUGUGGUAGAAAUUCAAACUCUCAUCAUAUAGGAACUCAUCAUGCAAUAUUUUAAAGAUUUCUCAAAGAUAAAAUUCUCCAAAAUUCUAGCAUCUCUAGGAACAGAUAAACAGCAGCUCAACCUUCCCAUAUCAUAUCCGUUAACAACUUAGACUUCAGAUCAAGUUUUCAACCCACAAGUUUAGGUCUAGAGAAAGCUUUAAAUUAUAACAGUUAUGUCUAAAUUUGAGAGAGAACUUCAAAUUUUAAAAAUUAGCAGAGCAACUAUUCAUCAUAUCCAUGCUAGAGUUUUAUUAUUAAGAUUCAGAUUAGCAUAGCCAUUUUAUUUAUUUAUUAAACACACUAAGCAAAAGAUAUAUAUAUAAGCAUAAAAUCUUUAUUUGGUUUUUCAUAGUUUAUGUAUUUUAAUAUUCUAACAUAAUAUAAGUAUAAAGAUAGGUAGAAAUACUUAGCGAGAUAAAUUGGGGUGCUCUUCCCCCAAGCUAAAUUUUGACGUAAUUUUUCUUGAUGUAGCUAGCAGGUGGCAGAGGUGUAUUUGAAAGUCAGCAGCAUUCUGACAGCGAUUAGAAUGUCCUCCGUCUGCUAGUCUUCUUGAUUCUUAAAUUCUGUGGAGCUCAAAUAGACAACAAAGCUUGUGGAACUGAUUAAGUAUUAGCAUAAAUAUCUAGCCUUUAUCAUGUUGAGACUCCUUAACAAUCAUUACUCUCUAUUUUUUUAUAUUUUUGUUUUAUAAAGCAGAAAAGAAAUAUUUAUUUUGUUUUUAUGCCACCACAGUGAAUGUACUUGUGGGUUUCAUGCCACAAGCAUAGUCACAUGGGGCUUACUAUUUUUAACAUUUUUAUUUUCUUUUCAAGAUAGCAUGACUAACUAACAAACCAUUUAAGGAAAGUAAAUAAUUUAAGGAAAAAUGCAGAAAGGAUAAAUAUGGAUAAUUACCGAUUUUACCUUUCGGCGAGGGUUCAAUGAUUUAAGUCUUCUGAACAAGACUUCUCACCGUGUUCAUUCUUCAGGUGCGUCAUUUGAUUCAGGUGCGGACCUUGACGUCUGCACCUCUUCGUUUGCCCAGCAGUUCGAAGUGCGGUGUUGGCAGUAUCCUGCUCAGUGUGUUUGUGCUCGUAGAUUCAGGUCCUUCACUUGGUAGAGUCUGAGAGUUAUAAAACUCCUCCGUGUUUUGCUCGAAGUGUACCUGCUCAUAGAGACAAGACAGAGAUCAAGUGCAUGGGUCCUGUUGGUGGAAAACACCAACAGAACCUAAAGCGUAUUUGUUCUUCUCUAACCCUAAGCAUAGUGAGCAAGACAAAGUUGAUGGAUGAAAAGUUCAUGAGUGUAGCACUUAUAACAUUUGUCAGAUCAGAUCGCUCAACCUUAUGGAAAGAUAAUCUAUCUAUGUAUAUGUCUUUUUCUUUAUAUCUCUUAAUGAUUGAAUGUGUAACAUUUUAGCUCAUAUGAUUAGGAGUGUGGGAUCAUGGAGGUAGUACUAAGAACAAGGAUUAAAGGACUAAACAUGUUGAAUCAGUUGGGUUGGUUAAUCUAGAGUUGUAGAUCAUACAUGUUUGUCUCUUUUAUUUAUAUGAACGCCAGAACCAAGGAGAAGCUUAUAAAAGUGAUAGUCAAGUACCUUAAGAUGUUACCUUGCUUGAAGAGUGAUGGUACAAUAUCACCUUGUGGAAGCUUCCCAUUCGUAGUGGUUGUGUAUCUUGUUUAUGUACUUUGUCUCCUUCUAUGGAUCAUCUCUCUAUGAUGAAUGAGCUGUGUCCUUCUUGUGCAAAUUGUUAAACUUCAUGUGUCACUCUCUUCAUCUCUGAUGUGAGUUUAUCUCAGGACUUCCCAGGUUGAUAGUGAAAGUUUUCCUGCAGGGGUUAGUCCGACAAAAUAUACCAAUAUCUACUCAAGCAGUUUUUAGUUCAGUAACCAAACUAGACUCUAUGUCUAAUCAGAUUAAGGAAGGCUAUUUAACCUAAGCACCAUGCUUAAUUUAAAAGCCAAUAGAAGUAUGUGCAGUACUUCCAAACUAACACUUACUAGUAAAUAGACAAAGGUAACAUGACAGCAUUUAUAGAGAUCUACUCAAGUGGAGAUGAAGUAGUGUGAUUAGUAUUUAACAAACUGAGCAUGUCUUAAAGGUAGGGACAACCAAUAUAGCAACAUGGCAAAGGAUAUUUUUAUGUAAAGUACUCCCUCAAGCUUGAAUUUUGCAGAAUUCAAGUUUGGAUGAAUUUAAUUCAGUGUUGCAUGAUGAUUGGUUGGACAUACCUUGUGCUUGUCAUUCAUCCGAUCUUCUUGCUCCAAUCCUAGAAAGGUUAGUGACAAGAAUACCCGAAGGAAUAUAUUUAUUUUUUUUACAAUUAUCCUUAUAUGCUCAAUACACCAGGUAAUGUUGUAAAUAAUUAAAAGCUCAUGUUAUGAUCUGAUCAGUGCUUAUUUUAAGACACUAAGCUUGUCCUUGGAAAACCAUCAAUUUAUGUCGGCGAGAUCUGCAAUAUUUAUUAUAGACAUAUGCAUCGACAACCGCCCUUUUUAAGUUUUUUAUAAAUAGAAAGGAAAAGGGGGUUGGAGAUCUCAAAUGUGGUGAUGUUGGAGAGACCAAUAGAUUGGGAAGAUGUUGCAUAUGAGCAUGGAGUAAACGAAAUGGCUAUGAAAUAAAUUCCAUGCUCAUUAAUGUUAUCUUCGUCUCCAAUCUGAAUGUUCGGAGUUUCUCCUGGAUUGGUCUCACCUAUGUCCUCUCUUGUAGUUGGAUGAAUCUCAUCUUCAAAGGGAGUCAAGAACUCACCAUUUGGAAUUGAGCCAAAGUCAGAAUCCAUUAAGGCUUCUUCCUUAUCCAUCCAUUCUACACAUUCUAGCCAUUUGGAACUUGUGAGCAGGAAAGGGGAGCUGAUAGAAUUUUCUAUAUGGCUUAGCUCUCCUUCACUUGAUAUGUCAUCCUCGACUUCUUCAUAACAGGAACCGGGACAUUCUCUAAGAGAACCAUUAUUGUGAGGAUUUGAAUUAUCUCUCUUGAAGGUCUCUUAUGGAACCAGAAGUCUAAAGCAUCAGCAUCUAAAAGAUUUAAGGUCGGAAUUCCUUCCUCCCUUGGAGAAUUUUGGGGUAUUGAUGGUUUAGGAUCGAUAGCUAAAGUUUGGAAUUGAAGUGGUUGUGAUCUGGCUAUCGAAACUUCUUCUUUUUGUCUAGGAACUGGUUCUGUCUCUUUCUCAGGGGUAUAAAAGCUAGGAGACUUCCCACUUAAUAAAUCAAUCAAAUUCCAAGCUUCACUAGCAGGUAGGUGAUAGAAGGAUCCUCUAGAGGCUGUAUUCAAGGUUUGCUUAUUUUCCCCACUAAGGCCCUCAAAAAAGUGAAUUAGAAGAACUUCUUCUGGAAUAGAAAGCUUUGGGCCAGUGAGAGUAAGGUUAAUAAAGCGGUCCCAUGAUUUCCUAAGAGAUUCUUCUUCCAGUUGUCUAAAAGAAAUAAUCUCACGCCGAAGUUCUGCCACUUUGGAGAUUGGAAAAUAUUUAGAAAGAAAACUACUAUAUAACUCCUUCCAAUCUCCAUGAACACUCCUUACUUUGAGUUUAUACCAAUGUCUAGCUUUUUCUGUUAAAGAGAACGGAAAAAGCUUCCAUUUAAGGGUCUCAUCGGACAUGCCUUCUAUGCGAAGGAGGUCACAAAAUCGAUAAAACUCUCUUAGGUGUGUGUAUGGGUUUUCCUCACCAUCUCCUGAGAAAGGUUGUUUUUGAAAAAAUUCUAUGUAUUCGGGGUCUAUCUCAAAACUAGAUGCUAUGAUAGGCUUUGAAGAUUUUGGUGGUUCGAGAUGUGUGCCCAUAGGUCUAUGAAAUUCGUAGAUAGACAUGUUUGAAUUCAUGAUAGACCAGAGAUCAAGGAUUAGAUAAGAAGAAAGAUUAGCAGAGAUGAGGCAAAGGAUAAAAGGAAAAUAUAUAUAUAUAUAUAUAUAUAUAUAUAUAUAUAUAUAUAUAUAUAUUUAGAAAAUGAUUAAGCUAGUUCGUAGUCAACUCAGCAACCGUUUCCCCGGCAACGGCGCCAAAAAUGCUUGUUGACACUUGCUAACACCACUUGAAUACUAGGUUGUCAUCCCCAGCAUGGCACUAGAGUGUACUAUGGUAUUUAUACGCACACAGAUAAUCCGCAAGCGCACGGAUACCGUUGAAGCUUUUACCCGGUUACAGGUUUUAUCGUAUCUACAGGGAAACGGGAGAACCAACUACGCUCUAACUUAACCAAGAUAAGUAAAUAGGUGUAAAUAGGAAAGAUGGUAGAAUCGAAUAAGAAUAAUAUUAAAGGUAAGAUAACAGUGAAUGAUAAUAUGGGAAUAGAGAGUAGAGCAAUUCUAGUAUAUGGGCGAUGGUAGCAGAAUAGAGAGGAUAACUAUGGUUUCUCUACUUCAAAGGGGUAUGUCUAUGUCUGGGACGAACCAUGUGAUAAGAUUACACCACAAAGGAUGCUUAUCCAUAGGCCGAUAAACCCUACCCGUCCUGCUAACGAGAGGUGGACUACAGAGGACCAACGUAACUGUCACCUACGCGGCCUACCACACGAUCCAGCUAGACAGGGGAUAUCCACAAGUAAUCUAGGUCUAAGCACCACGCUUACACCUAUACUACAACUCUAACCUAUAGCGUCCUAUAGAUUAGAAGUACUCAAAAGAGUUGUGAACCAGAACAUACAUAAUUAGUAAUUGCAUAAUGAAUUAGAAGUAGAUUACCAGAGUCAUCCCAUGAGCAAGGUUGAUUAGAGCUUGAUCUUGACGAAGUACAACCAGAGGAAGAACCGACAGGUCGGCCUCUCCUCUAAUCCUCCUUCGCUCUCCAUCUUGCUACUAUCUAGAUCUACUCUAGUUUAGAGAAGAGAGGAGAGCUCUCAUCUCUAAACCCUAGCUUUUUCUCUGUCUAUGAAUAAUGAAUAAUGAUCAAGGGGUGCCUCCUCCAGGGGCCAGGGGGUCUGGUUUUAUAGUCCCCUCAAGUGAAUAUGGGCCGUUGGAUCAAACCGACAUAGAUUGAACGGUUAUCCUUGAUCCUUUAGGUCGGUGGAGAUCUCCCACGAAGCAGAGUCCUGAUUGGACUCUCAGAGGGGGGGGGGGGGCGCCCAGGGCAGGAGGGCGGGCGCCCUGCCUCUGGUCCCGUUUCGCCUCCACUUCGGUCUCGUGGCUUCUGGAGUCUUCUAGAUGUAAGAUAAUUGCGCGGCACGUUAAUAUCUCUAUGUAAUCCCGACGUGUGGGUCUUUCUUUCGUAUUUCCUGAUAACCCCCUGUAGAAAUAGACAAACACCAAAACUCGUGGAAUUCUGUCAGAUAAAACCCUAAGUCUAGAUGUUGAUUUCAUUUAGAUCCUUUUCUUUGUUUAUUUGAUAAUUAAAUUUGAUACUUAAGGACCGUCAACAGAUAUGACUUUGUUGUAUUUGAUUAUGUUCUCAAUUAUAUGAUUCUUAGUCUACUUUGAUUAUAUGCUUGGCAUAGUUAGAUUAGAUUAUAUACAAGUAUAGGACCGUAUAGUCCUUGCUUAUUAGAUUGAUGGGUGAGUGGUAAAUAUUGUGUAGGCAUGGUGCCUAUACCAUAUUUUCCUGCGAUUGCACCCUAUAUUCUAGACCGUGUGGUAGAUCAUGGGAGUGAUAGUCCUGUUGAGUCAUUCGUAGUCCAUCUCCCAGUAUAGUGCAGGCAGAACACAACUAUUACAGGAAAGUGAUUGCUUUGUUCUUCAUCUUCCUUUGUAAUAUCACUAUACGUAGAUAUAACCUUUUCUCGCUAUGAUUGCUGUAACACCCUAAAAUUUUCUUCUUUUAAAAUAGUUGAAUUUGAUUUAUUGGGUCAAUUUUAUGAGUAUUAAAAUAUAGGAAAAAUAAAUAAAUUUUGGGAAAUUAAAAUUUACUAUAAUUUUAGAAAUAUGUUGAUGCAUACAUGCUGUAGCAUUCAAAUUUAGUUUGGAAAUGAGUUUGGGAAUUUGUUUGGAAAAUAAAAAGGCAAGUCCUAUCCCCUCUUUCCUUUCUCGCCUGCCUGGCCCAACUCCUCCCGGCCCACGCGCUCCCUUCCCUUUCUCUCAUUCCUAGGCCGGCCCAGUCCGCAGCUCGGCAGCAACUGCAACACUCCCUUCUACCUGGCUCAAUGACAGGCGGGGCCCGCCUGUCAUCCCCCUCCUUCAGCAACCAUCCUCUUCUCCCUCGGACGCUCAGCGGCAGAGCUGCAACUGUCACUUCCCACUUCCCCACGUUCUUCCCCCACGCCUCGGCCUCUCUUUUGGAUGUGCCAGAGCCCGAGCCUCCCCGGGCCCUGCCGCUCUCAUUUUGCUCUUUCUUUCGCUCCCACUCUCGCUCAAAGCGCAUAGAGAACCGCCACAAAACUCGCCGGAGUCAUCGAGAUCCGCUGCACCUUUACCCAUCAAACCGAGCCAUCUCCGCCUUCGCUUUUUGCCGUGGUGAGCAUGCCUCAUCCCCCUCUCCCUCUCCAGCUUUCUCCCAUGCAAACAGUGGUCUCUGGAGUCCUCCCUGUGAGCUCUGAUGGGGCCGGCCAUGGCGCCACUGUCGACCACCGUGUAAACGACCCUAAUGGUCGUGCUUCACCUCAUGACAGACUCGCCUUCACUCCCUCUUUCUCCUGGUGCCGCCGAUGCACCAUAGGACUAGGAUGCCAUAUUUGUUCUAAUUCGUAGUCUCGUUGUUCAGUUGUGUCUUAUGUGUUUGUGAAUAAUCGAUGUGCCAGCUGAACUUAUUUAUGUCAUUGUAUGAGUUGGAUCUUUGUAAUGACUGCUGGAAGGUUGUGGACUUGUCGACAAAGUUCUGUUAUCUUAGAUUUUAAGUUUUAAUUAAUGAAAGCUUCGUUUGGGUUGGUUCUAUCCUGUUGUUAUUGUGCUGUCUUCUAGAGCAGUCUGUGAUGUUUGUCUCGUAUAUCUAAAUUCGUACGUCCAAAAGUUCUAAAAUUUUUGUGGCUAGACUGGUGUGUCUCUCAUUGGCAACUAGAACCAUGUCAAAUCCUGCUCGGAUCUGGGAGAUAUCCUUGUUACAAUCUGAGACUGCUGCACAGACUAGAACUCAUAACAGAUUAACUUAAACUCUGUUUUUUAUUAAGAUAAUGUCUAAAUUUGUAAAAGUGUUAUGAAUAAAAGGUGUAACAGAUUUCAUAAGGUUUCCAAUGAUGUAUGGUAUGCCUCUAUUGGAUCUCAGAAACUCGAGUUAAGAAUUAAAUAUUGCACUGCUAUUUUUGCAUCUUGUCCAGAAAUUUUCAGCAAUGCUUAUUUAAUAUUGUAACCGGUUUAUAAAUAUUGGAAGGUCUCUAAAAAGCUUGUUCCUUUGUUGGAAACAGAUGGCUGAUGAAGGGGGAAGAGGUCAUGGAUGUGGUCGUGGCCGUGGCGCAGCGAUGGAUCCGCCACCACCACCACCCAUACAGAGUAGCUCAUAGGUAUGCAAGCCCAGUUGAUGCAAGCCAUGAUGCACCACCUGGAUAAUCAGCAUGCGGUCGUACCACCCCCUGUCCUGGUUCGUGAUAAGAGAGGAGAAUUCAUGAAGGAAUGCCCCCCAGUCUUUACACAUGCUUCUAACCCAUUAGAAGCUGAUGAUUGGUUAAGAGUUGUGGAGAAAUAGCUAAACAUUGCCCAAUGCAAUGAAGUGGAGAAGGGCCUCCAAUCAACUGCAAUGGGCUACAUAGGAAUGGUGGGAGUCUACCAAUAUGUACACCCAAAUAAUGCACCGCUCGUCACCUGGAGGGAAUUUACUAAGAGCUUCCGAUCAUACCAUAUUCCUGAGGGCUUAUUGAGCUCAAACAAGAGGAGUUCCGUGCUCUCAAGCAAGGCUCCAUGACUGUGGCCGAGUACCGUGACAAGUUUGCUCAGUUGUCACGUUAUGCUCCAGGUGAGGUAGCGAAGGAUUCUGACAAGCAAUGUCGUUUCCUGAAGGGUCUAUAUGAUGGCCUGCAGUUGCAGUUGAUGUCCAAUGUCUACCCUAGUUUCUAGGAACUAGUGAACCACACUAUUGUGAUCGACAAUAAGCGCAAGGAAAUGGAUGCCAAAAAAGAGGAAGCUUUAGGGGCAGGCAUCUAAUUGCAAUACAUGCCCACGUGUUUUCCCUCAGUAGGGCUUCCCUCAAAGGAAUUAGAGGCCCCCUAGUUAGUGGAGUCAGGGCCAGUAUCCUCAGUGCAAUUAGAACCAGAACCAGUAGUGCCCUCAGUACCAGCAGCAGUAUGGCAACCAGCGGCCCUAGUAGCAGGCUAACCCUCAGGUACCAUGUCUGGGUGUGCCCAACAAUGUUCCUGUGAAGAAUGUCAUGACAAACAAUCCCAAUGCUUGCUACUGCUAUGGUGAGGUGGGUCACUAUGCUCAUCAGUGCCCAAAGAAGCAUAACCCUCUAGCCCUACUGAACCAGAACAACAACCAGAGGCCCAAUGCUCGACCACCCCACACUGGAAGGGUGAAUCAUGUGUCUACCAAUUCAGCUCAGGAGGCACCCGAGGUCAUAUUGGGUACAUUCAGUAUCAACUCUAUCCCUGCUACUGUACUUUUUGAUUCUGGAGCUUUGCAUUCUUUCAUCUCGCAAGCUUUUGUUAGAGUACAUAGCAUAGCUCUGUGUACCAUGAAAAACUCCAUGCUAGUGAAUUCACCGGGAGGUACCAUGCCAGCUAACUAUUGUAGUCCCUCCACUAGUAUUUCUCUAAGAGGGGGUAGAGUUCAAAGUAAACCCCAUUGUGCUAAGAACUUCUGGUAUUGACCUCAUUUUGGGAAUGGAUUGGAUGAAGCAACAUCAGGUAGUGAUACAAUGCCAGGAGAAGUCUAUGAUGGUGACAUCGCCAAAAGAAGAUAGAAUUUGUGUGGAAGUGGCAGUGCAAGUACCACCAAUGGCUACCAUGAACUAGAUGAUUGACGAGAUUAAUGAGGAGGACCAAGUGGUGAAUGAAUUCCUAGAUGGGUUCCCUGAUGAAUUGCCAGGUAUGCCAUCUGACUGUGACAUUGAAUUCCUUAUUGAAAUUUUACCUAGAACUGCACCCAUAGUUAAGAGACCCUAUAGAAUGGGAGCAAAUGAACUAGAGGAACUUAAGAAACAAAUUAAGGAGUUGUUAGAAAAAGGUUUCAUUCGUCCUAGUUCAUCACCAUGGGGAGCGCCUGUUAUAUUUGUUGACAAGAAAGAUGGUACUAGGAGGAUGUGUGUGGAUUACCGGUCACUAAAUGAAGUAACCAUGAAAAACAAGUACCCUUUACCUAGAAUUGAUGACUUAUUUGAUCAAUUAAAAGGUGCUUGUGUGUUCUAAAAAUUGAUCUUAGUUCCGGAUCACCAACUGAAAAUCCGUGCAUCGAAUGUACCUAAUGUUGAUAUUUGGUAACGCAAUAAGGAAAUGAUCCGCAAGCGCACGGAUAUCGGCGAGCAUUUCACCCGGGAGGUUUUCCAGAGUAUCGUAUUUAUAUUUUUACCACUGGGAGAAAGGGUGCAUCUGACUAACCAAAUCUAUUGCUACUAUCCCUUUAGGCUACAAAGAAUGUUUCUCGAUGUGAGCGAUGUAUAGAGAAGACUGCAACCGUAGUCUCUUUCUAACCUUGGUAAGGAUGGUCUACUGUUCUAUUGGGGAAGCUUACGGAAUCUAGACACCACAAAGGAUGUUCGACCCACACCUAUAAACCUACCCGUCCUGCUAACGAGAUGUGGGAUGCAAAGAUAACUCGGAAAUGUCACGUUCCUCGCUACUACCACGGUCCAGCUAGUCAGGGGAUAUCUAUGAGUACCCUAGCCCAAACACCACGUUUACGCUAGCAAUGAUUACUCUAAACUCAACUGGAAGAGAUUAAAGUAAACUCGUAAACCAAAGAACAAUAAAGCAAGAACUUACUAGAAUUAGAAGUCGAAUUACUGAAGAAUCCUAGGAGCAAGCCUCGGGUUAGAAGACUUGAUCCCGCAGGUACAACCUCGGAGUAGACACCGAGAGGCUGGCCUUCCUCCGAUCUACACCUCCACUCUAUCUCUCUCAAUCUAGUAGAAACUAGAAGAUCUAAUUCUACUCACAUUGGAUGCUAAGCCUAAAACAAAUUUUAUUUAGAGGAGAGGUAUUCCCUCGAGGGCACCUCUCAAAUCUAUGAUGAACUUGUCUCCUCCAGGGGCCAGGGGAUCUGGUUUUAUAGUCCCCUCAAGUGAACGUGAGCCAUUGGAUCAAACCGACAUUGAUUGGACGGUUAUCCUUGGUCCUUUAGGUCGGUGGAGCUUGGUCCGCAAAGUUGGACGUGUUUGACUACAAUUCCUGGGCAGGGCGCCCAAGGAGGGUGGGUGGGCGCCCUGCUCCCGGGCCCGUUCGCCUUCUCGUUCGUUCCCAUGGCUUCUGGAGUCUUCUAGAUGAUAGAAAAUUACGCGGCACGUUAAUAUCUCUAUGUAAUCCCGACGUGUGGGCCUUUCUUCCAUAUUUCCUGAUAACCCCCUGCAGAAAUAGACAAACACCAAAACUCAUGGAAUUCUAUCAGAUAAAACCCUAAGUCUGGGUGUUGGUUGUAUUUGGAUCCUUUUCUUUGUUUAUUUGAUGAUUAUAUUUGGCACUUAUGGACCGUCAACACCUAAGACGGCCUUUACUACUAGAUAUGGCCUAUAUGAGUACACAAUUAUGUCUUUUGGGUUGACCAAUGCACCUACAUAUUUCAUGUACCUAAUGAACAAGGUGUUCAUGGAAUUUUAGGAUAAGUUUCUAGUGGUGUUCAUUGAUGACAUACUCAUCUUUUCCAAAACUAAAGAGGAACAUGUUGAGCAUCUGCGACUAGUCUUGCAAAAGCUCAAAGAACAUAAGUUAUAUGCCAAAAGUAGUAAGUGUGAAUUUUGGCUGACGGAGGUCUCCUUUUGGGGACACGUGGUCUCUAAUGGAGGAAUAGCCGUGGACCCUAGCAAGGCGCAGGAUGUGUUGAACUGGAAACCCCAGAAAAUGCAUGUGAAAUCUGUAGCUUUUUGGGAUUAGUCGGGUAUUAUAGAAGAUUCAUUGAAGGAUUCUCGAAACUUGCUAAGCCUAUGACAGCAUUAUUAGACAAGAGUGCUAAGUUUAACUGGUCACACAAAUGCCAAGCUAACUUUCAAGAAUUGAAGAAGAGGUUAACAACAGCUCUAGUGUUAACCUUACCUGACUUAAGCAAGAGCUUCUCUAUCUAUUGUGAUGCUUCUCACUUAGGCUUAGGUUGUGUGCUCAUGCAAGAAGGAAAGGUAGUGUCAUAUGCAUCUAGGCAGUUGAGAAAACAUGAGUUGAGCUAUCCUACUAAUGAUCUAGAGCUAGCCAUAGUGGUCCAUGCCCUAAAGAUCUGGAGACAUUACUUGAUUGGGCAUAAGUGUGAUAUCUACAUGGAUCACAAGAGUCUAAAGUAUAUCUUCACUCAGUCUGAUAUGAAUCUAAGGCAAUGUCAUUGGUUAGAGUUGAUCAAGGACUAUAACUUGGAAGUGCAUUAUCACCUCGAGAAGGUGGAUGUCGUUGCAGAUGCACUUAGCAGGAAGUGCUAUGUCAACAAACUUCAGCUGACAUUUAUUUGAGCCGAAUUGCAUGCUGAAAUAGAACAUCUCAACUUAGGCUUUAUGAAUCAUACAAUGGGUUUAGAGAUAGAGCCUAGGUUGGAACAAGAAAUAGUAAGAGUCAGUUGUGCGAUGAAAAGUUAAAGGAGAUAUCAGAUAAUGUUCUGUGUUAGGCGCAUGACUUUGCCUAUUCAAUACACCCUGGAAGUACCAGUAUGUAUUUGGAUCUAAAAGAGAUAUUGGUGGUACCGGUUGAAAAGAGAUGUGGCAGAGUAUGUAGCUUUGUGCGACACCUAUUAGAGAGUGAAAGUUGAGCACCAAAGACAUGCAGAGUUGUUGCAACCAAUGCAGAUACCUGAGUGGAAGUGGGAAGAAGUUGGUAUGGAUUUUAUUACCGGAGUGCCAUGUACUCAACAUGGAUAUGAUUCGAUUUGGGUAAUAGUAGACUGACUCACUAAGGUUGCACAUUUCCUACCAGUCAAAACCACUUACAACGGGGCAAGGUUAGCCGAGAUGUACAUAGAAAGGAUAGUGUGCCUACAUGGGGUCCCAAAGAAGAUCGUGUCUGAUCAAGGUACUCAAUUUACAUCGCAUUUUUGGCACAAAGUACAUAGAUCCAUGGGAACUAAACUAAACUUUAGUUCCACUUAUCAUCCUCAGAUUGAUGGACAAACAGAGAGAACUAAUUAGAUCUUGGAGGAUAUGCUGAGAACUUGUGCUUUGUGGUAUGGUACUAGUUGGGACAAGAGUCUGUCGUAUGCUGAAUUAUCAUAUAACAACAGUCACUAGAAAAGUCUCAACAUGGCACCAUUUGAAGCCUUGUAUGGGCGCAAGUGUAGAACACCUUUGUUCUGGAAUCAGAUAGGUGAGACACAAGUGUUUGGACUAGAUGUCCUAAGAAGUGCUGAAGAACAAGUGAGGGUGAUUACGGAUAACCUAAGAGUGGCACAGUCCAGGCAAAAAAGUUAUGCCGACACCCGAAGAAGGGGCUUGACCUUCAAAGAGGGUGAUUAUGUGUAUUUGAAAGUGUCACUGAUGAGGAGUGUGAAGAGAUUCAACAUGAAGGGUAAGUUAGCACCGAGAUACGUUGGACCUUUCAGAAUUCUUGUGAGAUGUGGAGAAGUGGCUUAUCAGUUAGAACUCCUAGAAAGUUUGUUAGGUGUACACGAUGUAUUCCAUGUCUAUUAGUUGAAAAGUGUUUAUGAGUAUAGGAAGAGCAGAUUCCUAUAGAAGAGUUAACCGUUAAAGAAGAUCUCACAUAUGAAGAGUACCCGAUAAAGAUCUUGGAAACUAUACAUGGAGUCAUGAGGAGUAGAACCAUAAAGAUGUGCAAAGUACAGUGGAACCACUGAACCGAGGAUGAAGCCACUUGGGAGAGAGAAGAUGAUUUGAGAAAGUCGUAUCCACAACUGUUUGAGUAAGCCAUCACCCAAUCUCGAGAACGAGAUUCUUUUUAAGGGUGGUAGAAUGGAAACACCCUAAAAUUUUCUUCUUUUAAAAUAUUUGAAUUUGAUUUAUUGGGUCAAUUUUGUGAGCAUUAAAAUAUAGGAAAAAUAAAUAAAUUUUGGCAAAUUAAAAUUAACUAUAAUUUUGAAAUAUGUUGAUGCAUACAUGCUCAAGCAUUUUAUUUAUUUGAUGUGUGGUUUUGUUCAAAUGAGAUUUGAAUUAAAAUUCAAUUUGGAAAUGAGUUUGGGAAUUUGUAUGCAAAAUAAAAAGGCAAAUCCUAUCCACUCCUUCCUUUCUCUCCUGCCUGGCCCAACUCCUCCCAACCCAUGCGCUCCCUUCCCCUUCUCUCAUUGCUGGGCCAGCCUAGUCCAUAGCUCGGCAACAACUAUAGCACUCCCUUCCCCCUAGCUCAAUGAUAGGUGGGGCCCGCCUGUCAUCCCCCUCCUUGAGCAACCGUCCCCUUCUCCCUCGGACACUCAAUAGUAGAGCCACAACUGUCGCUCCCUACUCCCUCAUGUUUUCCCCCGCGCCUCGACCUCUCUUUUGGAUGCACCAGAGCCCGAGCCACCCCUACCACUCUCAUUUCGCUCUCUCUUCUGCUCCCGCUCUCGCUCAAAGCACACAGAGAACUACCACAAAACUCACCAGAGCCACCGAGAUCCGCUGCACCUCUACCCAUUGAGCCGAGCCGUCUCCGCCUCUGCAUUUCACUGUGGUAAGCACGCCUCAUCCCCCUGUCCCUCUUCGGCUUUCUCCCAUGCAAAACGGUGGCCUCUGGAGUCCUCCCCGCGAGCUCCAAUGGGGCCAGCCAUGGCGCCACCGUCGGCCACUACGUAAACCUCUCUAAUGGCCGCGCUUUACCUCAUGACAGACUCGCCUUCUCUCCCUCUUUCUUCUGGUGCGCUCGGAGUAGAAAACUGAGCUCCGUAGCGGUCGGACAAGAAACUUCGGGGACCUUGCUCACACUAGCCAUGGCACGCCGCUGCUCCCCCUGAUUGCAGCCGCCGGCACCACCAUCUCUUCCCCCAUCUCUAAUCUCGACCGUUCAUUGCCAGAUCGAUGACCGAGAAUGGCCCGUACCCCUUCGCGGGAUUUUUACUAAAGAGUCCUUGAAUUAUCUUAAUUUCAUGCCGGUGGUCCUUGGCCAUGAGGAUUUCCAGGAUUUUCUUUAUUUAUUUAAAUUCGUUUAAACUUUGUCAAAAUUAUAGAAUUGCCAAUGCAUAGUUGUGCUUGUAAACUCAUCGUUAUAGCUCUGAAUCGAUCCAUUCAACUUGCGUUAGUUUUGUAAUUUCAUAAGCUUCGCGUUGGUACCACUUUUGUAUAGGUUUUACAAUGUUAGAUUUCCUAGAAAAUUAAAAGUUCAUAGAUUGCCUUUGAGGUUGUAAUACCCGAUUUUAAGGACAAAACCAGAUAUGCACCAUAUGUGAGUCCUAGAAGUCAAAAGACAAUGCAUAAAUAUAUAACGUACUUAGUAUAAAAGAGAUAACCUUUAGUAUCAAACAGCGGAUAGACAACUCCAACUUCGGGUAUUAACUCCACUCUACAGGAUCCAACUGACUGGUUGAUCACAAGCCUAAACUUCUCCUGAGGUUUGGGGGAAAUAGCAAGAGUGAGUCCAUGUCGAACUCCACAAGUAUAUCAACUAGAUUGUAUAGCUCCCACAAUCUCAUGAUCAAUGUGACAUAAGUAAUGUAAAGCAUUAAACAAUAAUAAUGAGCAUAUUUAACACACAGGAAUCAUCACCCUUAAUGUAGAUGUCCCCAAGGCUGCUCCUGACUAUGAGCUCGGCUAGUAUACUAGUUUUUAACCCUCUGCAGAGGUUGCACAUCUUUACCCAUGAGUCAUGAUUUACCCUUUCGCCCGAGGUAGCUAAUCUCUUAACCCCCUUCCUAGGGAGGUCGGCAGGGAUCACUAUGAAGUCUUUCAAAGGUUCGUCUAACAAGUUAGAGCCGCUUGGUUUCAUUAGUCAGUCCGUGUGAUUCACCCGCAGGAAUCCACGGUCUGCUAUUCCCUAAUUGCGCCACAACGGGUAACCGCUAACAAGCUAGAAAAGUUACUCAUACUUAACUAAAGCCAGAGCCAUUAUAGCCCUCAUGGUUGCACUGUUGUCCCGGGUGAUCACGUACAGAUAAAUCAUCAAGUUGCUAAAAAGUCAUUUUUAUCGUUUAUUACUUAUCAUUAACCUAGUCACACGAUCAUGGUCACAGAAAUAAAAUCCAAAUGCUAUACUUGCCUUGAUCCAAAUGCUCUUGCUGAUCUUGCUAGUUGUUCAAGGCUCUGAUCUUGAUCACUGAAGCACUCUUGAUCACCACGAAUUGCUCAUCGUCUAAUCUUGAUCAUCGAUCACACAAACAAUCGAAGAAAACAUACACGAAGCAAACAAGACUACAAUUAGAACAGUACACCAUUCAUAUAAAAACAGUAUGAAAUGUUUAUAAAAUGAUUCUACGCAGCGCUACGAUUUCAUAGACGUAAAGAUCACGAAAAUCGGAGUUGAAACGGAAAAGAUAUGGAUUUUCUAAGAUUUUAUAUAGAAAAGUAAUUAAUUAAUUAAGGACACGAAAUUAAAAAGUUUCAAACUGAGAAAACCAUUUUUCUAACAUGUAGAGCUCAUGAAAACGAACCUAACGCAAUUUGAAUGAGUCAAAUCGAAGUUAAAAUGAAUAUUUUAUGGCGAAAAGAAAUCCAGUGGCAAACUUGUAAUUACAGAAAGCGUAUUUUCGGAGUCAAUCCGGUAUUUUUCUGUUUUCUGAAAGAGAAAGCGCAUUUUUGAUAUCCACUUUGGACUGCGGGUUUAUUUGGCAAAAGCUCAGGGGCUUUUUAACAAAAGUGCGAAUGAAGGGGUACGUUCUAAUCUGGAACGUUGAUCUUGAAUCGGACGACUGAGACUCAAUCUGGGGAAAAACAGGUGGCUGCCGGCAACGUACAGGAGCCUCACGGUGGCUCCAUGGCCGGAAGUUCGCCGGCGCUCAUGGAGAAGGCACUAGGAACCAUGGUUUUUGAUGGGAAAAGAACCAGGGCGUAGAGGACCUUCGUGCGAACUCACCUAGGCGACUUUUGCGAUCGGAGAGAGCUUGGAAGAGGGCGGCAGCACGUCGAGGCGGAGCUUUGCAUUCCUGCGAAGUUCGGCGAGCAAUUCAGCAACACAGAGAAGGGUAGAACGAUGAUGGAAAGCACAGGGGGGUUCAAAACCUCAACGCGAAGCUCGGCGUCCACUCGAUUGUGAUAGAGCGGCCGCGUAUAGCAAGAACCACGGCGGCAGUUCUUCCUCUACUCGCGGCGAGAUCCAAACUGCAAUGACGACCGCAAAGAGAGCUCGUUGGCUUCACAGAUGAGGGAAAGGGCACGCGGGGAAGGUUCCUGAGCUUUUAUAGGAGCAUGGUAGUCGAUCACGGCAACAAAUCCCGUGGUAAACGGGAUUGGGCUCGGUCCCGAUGUGAAGUCCUGCUUGGCCACGCGAGGAAGAAAGAUUGGCGGCACUGACUUGUGGGGCCCCCUGUCGGUGACCAAAAGCGCGGGACCCGCUUGCCAGCAAAGGGAGAGAGAGAGGACGGCGCGCUGGCUGGCCAUUUGGGCCGAGAGAGGGAAGCGAGGCUUGCUGCGCACGCUGGGCCGAAUGGAAACAGAAGGGGGAGGUUUUUUUCUUUUGUUUGUUUUCUUUUUUGUUUCUUUUUAUUUCAAAACCAUUUGAAACUCAUUUAAAAAUUCUUUUGAAUCCUUUUGAAUUUUGAGUUCAAAAACACUCAGCACAAUAAACCAAAAUGCAGAAGCAUGAGUGCACAAAAAUGUUGCUACACCCUAAGAUAAAUUUUAUUUUGAUGAAGAAUAUUAUUUCCUAGGUUUCAUGAGCACCAAAAAUUCAUAAAUAAAUCAUUUUUCACCUAUUUUUAAAAUGAGCAAAAUUUUGGGUGUUACAAAUCUACCCCUCUUAAAAUGAAUCUCGUCCUCGAGAUUCGGAAGAGGCACGGAUUCCAAAAGAGAGAUAGGAAAAAGAUAUUGAUCACUAAUUCAACUCCACAGCUAGUAUUCCAAAAGCAAACACUUAUGUCUCGGGAUCACAACUUGUGAACAAAAUUUCCAUAAAACGUCUAUUUUUCGUAAUUGUUCAAGGUCCAUCUUGACUACCAACUUUUAGACUUAUACAACUCAAGGACAUGAUAACUUAGCAUGGAUAUGCCUCCUCAGGCAGGAGUGGACCACCUUGAUACUCAAUUCUUUUCUCCGAUGGUGCAGUUAAGAAAAUUUUCCACUAGGUAGCAUAGAUCACUCCUUUGUGUGCACAUAACCAUCCAUUACCAUGAACCCAAGGAAUGUCGAGUGACUCUAGCACAAUGAGGUUUACAGUAAAGUUUUCCUUUUACACUUCCGUCGUUGUGGAUUCUGAUUUGAUUCAAUGUCAACUUGCUCUUCUGUAUUGUUAUUUUGAUAGUACUCAGCAUUGUCAUACUCAUAACAUCUUUCUUCAAAGGCAAGAUGACAAUAACCAUAGAAUAUCUCAGAAGGCAGUUAUCGCUUCAAGAUAGUUUUAAAAUGCAUCAUCCCGUAAUAUCAAGGUGCUACCCCCUUAAAACGAGAUUGAUUGGGGGACACUAGGGAGUAGUUCUCCUAUCCUUUUUGGACGCCACACAUCAUAGUCUUUUACAUUCGUGGUACCGAGUCUCUUGAUCCAAGGUUAGUUUCAUCACUAAGUCCCAAUUAUCGGUACCUUUAUCACAAUUAAGUUGUUUCACUCUCACGUUGUACAUAUAGCUUUGUAGACUUUGGUGUCAUCUGAUCCUCAUAACAUGACUCUCAAUUCAUGAGUAUCAGCAAUGACAUAUAUCUCCAUUAAUAUUCUCUAAAUUGGAUGAUAUCUCGAAUUAAAACCAAUUUACCAAGCGCUUGUGAUCCUUGUAGAUGUUCCAGUCAUUAACCACUUCUUCUCUUGUAACUUCUUUAAUUAGGCUACCUCCCUUAAAAAGGGUCAACUAGGGAACACAAGAAGGUAGCUAGCAUGUUUUCCAGACAAGUUAACUAACAUUGAGAACUUCUGACAUCCCAAAGAUCUUAUGUGCAAGAGAAUAAACAAGUAUCCUGAAAUUUUCUCGUGAUAUGAAAACACCAGCGUAGUAGAAUAGACAUAACUCUUAUUAUGUCAAUCCAAUAGAGUUGUAGCUUAUACCAUUAGAAAAAUUAUGAAAUUCCCUACAACUUUCUUAUAGAAGCCUUUCUUAGAUUCUGUCUUUAAGCUUAGUUAAAACAACCAAACAUAUUAUCCAUCCUGACAAUGUCUCAGCCAAGGUGCAGUAACUUACAAAAGUUAUAUCUCGAGCUUCUUAAUUCAUCUGGAGAUGAUCCUUACCUUUUUGAAAAGCUUGGGAAAUUCUCUACAACUUUCGUAUACCACGUUUUCCCAGAUUCUGUCUUUAACUUGGCUGAAAAAUUGGAAAUACCAGAUCUGUCCAGAUUUUGAAGCAGAACAGAAACAUCCAAUUGUAAAUAUCAGAUCUCAGGUUCUACUUAUCCAAAUAAGUUCCAGCUUAUACCGUUGGAAAGAAUAGAAAAUUGUCUACAACUUUUCUAUAGAAUACUUUUCCAAAUUCUAUAGUUAUAUAUGUCUAAAACAGCAAGCAACCGAAACUGGUACUGAUUCUUGACAGCGCAGCUGCAUUAACUUGUGAUUUUCAUAACUCCAAUUCCAAAAUAGAUAUGGGGGUCAUUCUUGAGGUCAAAGAAAGAUCUUGGAGUCUAGUUAUUCCCAGAAAAAGGUGAUAAAUUUUGCACGAUCAGAACUUGAGAUAUACCAAUAUUAUUGCUAAUUGCUCCAGAAGUCAGCAAGGGACAGAAACAGGAUAUCACCAAACCCAACUACUUAUGUCAUUACUCCUUAUGCCUUAGUUCUAUAAACUAAAUGAAAUUGUGAAGAACUCACAAAAUCAUUACACUCAUUACAAAGAUCCAAAUCAAACAUAAACAUAAUAACAAGCAAUUAAGCAUCAAAGGUUCACACUUCACUCAACUUGCGAUACUAUCGUUCUCUUCAUAGUAAGGGUAAAGAUCCUAAAACUUAUAUUUCAAAGACGCAAGAAGGUGGUAAGAAAAGGUUCUAAUAGCAUACCAAAUCAAGGAGUGAAGGUGAGAACAAGUACUUUUAAAAUAAGCAACAAGGUAGAGACAAAUAGCAAGGAUAAGGAUAUAGUAUGGAUAAAAAUAUCAAGGUUUAUAGACUUCGGUAAAAGUGGAAUGGAACAGUGUUAAACCAUAUGCCUUUCACGGAACUCGAAAUUGACUAUUUAUUAAGAGAAGAGGGUGUGUAACUAAAUCAAUGACUCACCUUAUAUAUCAUAAUGGGCUACCUCGUCUCAAUAGGUGAAAAUCAAGGUCUCGCCCCUUUCUCCUAUAAAUGUAUCGGAGAGUCAGAGCUCUUUCGCUGAUCCAAAGGCGCUCACAAAUGGGUACAGGUACCUGAGGAGGCAUGAGCAGCUAAUGGAAUUUCUUUUCUCACAGGGUUACCUAAAUUGGAGGGUAAGGGGGUAAUAUUGGUAAUAGAGGAAAGAUUAACCAAGUAUUGCCAUCUCUUUGCCCUAGCUCACCCCUACACUAAGGCGUAGCACAAGUAUUUUGAGAUGGUGUUUAAAGGCUGCAUGGCUUACACCCACUAUGGUGACCAAAAAGAUACCCAAUAAACCGUACUCCCAGCACAGGCUUAACUCAUUCCCUUACCCCCAAGAAAACUUUGUCGAAAAAGGUUGUCAUCGUAAUAGGGAUUGCACAUCAACAUGGCAGCCCUCAAUUCUUCCAAUUGUGACUUGUACUCUUCUAGGCUUCCUCUUUGCCUCAAGUGAUUAAACUCAUCAACUACACCAACCACAUUUCUGACCUCAAACCUCUCUACAAUCUCUUGAAUUCACUCUUGCCAAGAUACUUGUCCCCUAUUCACUAAGAAACUGUUGUACCAGCUUUCAGCUCUCUUUUUCUUCAUCAACAAGCUCAGCAUUGAGGGGAUCCAUUUGCCUUAUCCAAUUUAAGAUCAAAGGUUAACCUCUAAUGUGAUUUACUAAUUUCUAACUGCAACCAGGGAACAACUAUCAACUAGUUUGAAAAGUUCUGUCAUUUAGGUUUGGGAGUAUUCCGGCGUAACUUUCUCAGGGUAUGGUAUAGGGGCUUGAGAAGGUGGGCAAUCCUUCAGUGAAGACCUAAUGAGAGGCUUAAAAAAACACACCCAAGCAAGAAUAAAUCGUACGAACAUCUAUGGAGCCUAGCAAGGAGCCUUAGCUUCACUUCAGCUCUCGUCACCUCACUCUCAAAUUUGCAGUCUUUCUUGACUGGUUCUCUAUUCAUAAACCCUACAGCUUUGUGCCACCAGGGGCCCCUUCUUUUGAAUUUGGUGAGCUACGCACUCACAUCUCAUCUUCAGCUACGGACCCCCCCACGGACGUCCAUCUAGUCUUACCCGCGUGUACUCCCAGACAGACUCUCGGGCGGGCUAAAAGAAUGAGCCUGCCUCAAACUCUCCUCAUAGCAUGGUCAAAGAAGAGGCUAAAUAAAACCUAUCGUCAAAAGAAAAGAAACUCGCAGACUUCAGAAAAUAAAUAGGACUGUCCAUACUUUGAAGAAGAAAUACUGGAGUGGGAGUGGUUCCAGUGCCGAAAUCGCCCUUUCUCUUAUUCGUACUAAGGGGGAGGAGGGCUUAUCUUAAUAUUCCAUCUUGUUUGUUAGCUGACAACUCCAUCCAUCUUGCUUGUGCUCAUUCUAUCACAAAAGAGAUUUUUUACUUUUGCCAUAUGGUGAUCAUACUUUUUUCAUACAAUUGGAAAGUCUACCGAGGGGAAGGUAGGACAAAAACACGGUGUUUCCUACUUUUGUCACUUUGAAAAAAGUCUUUAUUAGGGAAAUCGAUGAGUAGGCGCGCAGCGACGGGGUUUCCUACUUUUAGUAUUCUACCAUAUGCCUCGUUUUUUUACUUCUACUAUUGGUUUUUCAGGCUGUGAAUUAGCAAUGAAUCCUGACAACUUCAACUCUUAGUUAUACACCCACCUCUACUACAUAGUAGAUAGUCAAAGUGUCAGCUGCUUGUACCAGUCAUUUAUGUGUCGUAAUUGUACUCAAUUGUCCAAGAAGACUGCACGAGACACCAAAACACAUCAAUGUUGUUUUUCAUGUACUGCCUCUUCUAGAUUCGAUUGCUGUCUCCACAUUUCUUCGCCAAAAGGCUUGAAUUCUUCCCAUCGUACACUACAUCCGAUGCUUUAAGUUCAACUGGAAAUGAAGAAGUAUACCUCAUGAUGGGUUGACCUGCCUGUCGACUACAAGAGAGACAAGCUCACUCGAGAGAUCUUUCCUUUCGAUCGCCAUUGGAGAAAAUAAGACUCCAUUGGUGCGGAUGGGAAGCAAGUGUGAAGCUCCUCAGAGUUUUUGGGUUCCUGUCUUCAUGUACCGAAAGGACAAAGCUGGACGAUAGGAGCAAUACGGGGAGAAAGUAGCGCUUUUGCUAUAGGCUGGCUUAAAAUGUUUCGUUUGAAAACGAACUUGUUAAGGCAAAACAGGCUUUAUUGCUUUUGCCCUUGGCUGGACUACAAACUUGAAUCUUGAAAGUAGUUCCCGCUAGGUAAAUACAGAUUUAUUGGUUUUGCCCCAAGCAAGAAAACGGAUGUGCGAAGGAAAGUAGGACUUUUUACUACGGCUGGCAUAAAAAGUGCACUUUGAUCGUACACUCUACUAGGCAAAACUGGUGUGAGUGGUUUUGACUAUGGAGGGCAUAAACAGUUUAAUAUGGAGAGUCGGCUGAGUUUAGGACAAAAAGACAAGGCGUAGUCUUUUGAGUCUGAUCAGUCUAGUGUUGCCUAUGUUGGGUAGGAAAUAAAAGAAUCAAAGCCCUCGACGUUCCUAACAGCUGUUGAGCUCUCGAAGUAUGAGAUCCUGAAUGCAUCCUCUUUCUUUCCACUUCAUCUUGGGAAUCAGGAAUGGUUGUUUAUGGCUGGGUGUGACAGAUCAGACUGAGUUUAGAAUCAGACCUUCUAUCUAUCUAGCUGUAUUGCCACUCCAACGGUUCUUUUUCUUUGAUUAUGCCCCGUAUCUCUCUGAGCCUAUUUGAUCUAUUUGCUAUAUCCAAGUUCGAGUGUGAAGUUCGCUCCGGUUGAAGUGUAGGGCUUCCUAAUUUCUGCUUCGUCCUCCUGCACACUAGUAUAGAAGGUUGGCCCGUCACCGUAUACCAUCGUAAGAUGAACUGGAAAUUAGUAGUUUCAACCAGUUACACAAAAUAGGCAAGUUGAGUUCAGCGUGUGUUGUGUUGCCUCCAACUAUAACGAGGCCCUUUGACUUGAGGUACGAUUUACCUCUUAACGCGCUUUCCUGCUAGAAGAAGUGAGGGUGAUGUCCAAUGACCUGUUUGAAGAAGCUUGCUGUGUAGAUAGGUAUCCGUUUCGUAAACCUAAUGUAGAACCUGUAAACUAAAGACAGCUAACCAUAGCCCAAAGUCGUAUCUCUUUGGUUAAUAAGAUCCAAAAGGUUUAUCGAUCCCAAGGGGUACAGAUCCAUAAUAGACAUAUAGAGAUUAUUAUACGCCAAGUAACAUCAAAAGUAAGGGUUUCCGAAGAUGGAAUGUCUAAUGUUUUUUUACCUGGGGAAUUAAUAGGACUAUUGCGAGCGGAACGAGCAGGGCGGGCUUUAGAUGAAUCGAUCUAUUAUCGGGCAAUCUUAUUGGGAAUAACAAGGGCUUCCCUGAAUACCCAAAGUUUCAUAUCUGAAGCAAGUUUUCAAGAAACUGCUCGAGUUUUAGCAAAAGCUGCCCUACGAGGUCGUAUUGAUUGGUUGAAAGGCCUGAAAGAAAACGUAGUUCUGGGGGGAUUAUACCUGUUGGUACCGGAUUCCAAAAAUUUGUGCAUCGUUCCCCACAAGACAAGAACCUUUAUUUCGAAAUUAAAAAAAAAAAUCUAUUCGCGUUGGAAAUGAGAGAUAUUUUGUUUCUCCAUACAGAAUUAGUUUCUUCUGAUUCUGACGUAACAAACAAUUUCUAUGAAACAUCAGAGACCCCGUUUACCCCUAUUUAUACGAUUUAAGUAUACAUAAAGCAAUUUUUUUUUACUUAAAUUUAAACUAUACUUUUGACCUUAGAAUGCUAACAGGUCUGAUUUUCGAUUUUGUAUUUGAAUUUGAAUUGUAUUUGAAUUGUAUUUGAAUAAGUAAAAGAAGUCAGUUAAUUCAUUAAGGCUAUGUUUAUACCGUGUAUCAAUGGUCAAUUAUGAGUAGAAGGUUCCAUCGGAACAAUUAUUAUUUAUUUCAAGCUAUUUCGGCUCUUUCUUAAUCUUCAAAAAGAAAUUAAUUCCGUAAUGGUAAGACGAAAAAAGAAAAAAUAAAAAGGAAGUGUGGAAAAAAUGACAAGAAGAUAUUGGAACAUCAAUUUGAAAGAGAUGAUAGAAGCGGGAGUUCAUUUUGGUCAUGGUAUUAAGAAAUGGAAUCCCAAAAUGGCCCCUUACAUCUCGGCAAAGCGUAAAGGUACUCAUAUUACAAAUCUUGCUAGAACAGCUCGUUUUUUAUCAGAAGCUUGUGAUUUAGUUUUUGAUGCAGCAAGUCAGGGAAAAAGCUUCUUAAUUGUUGGUACCAAAAAAAGAGUGAAAUGGAUCCAGAGGGACCCCUUUGACAUAAUGGUUCGUGUAUAUAUUUUACAGAAACGUGAAAUCAAAGUUGGGGAUAAAGUAGCCGGAAGACACGGGAAUAAGGGGAUCAUUUCCAAAAUUUUGCCUAGGCAAGAUAUGCCCUAUUUGCAAGAUGGAACACCUGUUGAUAUGGUCUUCAAUCCCUUAGGAGUAUCCUCACGAAUGAAUGUGGGACAAAUAUUUGAAAGCUCGCUCGGAUUAGCAGGGGAUCUGCUAAAGAAACAUUAUAGAAUAGCACCCUUUGAUGAGAGAUAUGAGCAAGAGGCUUCAAGAAAACUUGUGUUUUCGGAAUUAUAUGAAGCCAGUAAACAAACAAAAAAUCCAUGGGUAUUUGAACCCGAGUACCCGGGAAAAAGCAGAAUAUUUGAUGGAAGAACAGGAGAUCCCUUCGAACAGCCUGUUCUAAUAGGGAAGUCCUAUAUCUUAAAAUUAAUUCAUCAAGUUGAUGAGAAAAUUCAUGGACGUUCUACUGGGCCCUACUCACUUGUUACCCAACAACCCGUUAGAGGAAGAGCCAAGCAAGGGGGACAACGAAUAGGAGAAAUGGAAGUUUGGGCUUUAGAAGGAUUUGGUGUUGCUCAUAUUUUACAAGAGAUACUUACUUAUAAAUCUGAUCAUCUUAUAGCUCGCCAAGAAAUACUUAAUGCUACGAUCUGGGGAAAAAGAGGGCCCUUGUCAUUAGACCACUAUGCUUGUCUUUUCCGCCUUGACUCUCGAAUCUUUUGCUUCUCGGGUGGUGGCGAACAAUGCAGCUUGCGUUGCGGGAGAUGCCCGCCCGUCGGGCCCGGCCUGCUUCCUGCCCGAAGAAGGCUAGCCGGACUAGUGGUAGGGGACCUGACCGUAAAAAACCCUACCUUUCGAACCCGCCCGUUCGUUAUAUCUAUAGAUAGAGAGAGAUCCGUGAAAGUCAUUGCCUUAUGUUAUGGUCGCCCCCCGACUGACGGCCUUUACGCAACUACGACUACUGUGAUGUGAGCGGUUCUAUUGGUUUGAUCUUUCCGGCCUCCACUUGUACGAAGAUGCAUGCAUAAAGGGACCCGCCCCUUUAUUUAUCUUGAUUUUCUUUAUUAGGACAGGACCCUACCCUAUUCUCGAACCCUCUGCCGAGCUCUACCCUGCCCGCAUUUAUUUGGAAGGGGGCCAAAGAAAUGUCUCCACCUGCUGCCAACAGUCUUUCUUCGGAAUUCUACUGAACGGGUCGAUCCUCCCCUCCGUUUGUUUUAGCAACUUAUCCUAAGGUCUCUUCGCCAAGAACUCUCCGGCAACGACAGAGGAACUAACCUGCCUGCAAGGAUUUUAUGACAAUUCCAAAACCUUAAGACGACCAAUUUCUAACUAGGCUUGCGUCCUACAUCCAGCAUUGCUCUGAUACCACUUUGUAGUACCCGAUUUUAAGGACAAAACCAGAUAUGCACCAUAUGUGAGUCCUAAAACUCAAAUCUCACAUAUAGCUACAAAUAAGUGUUGACGGUCCUUAAUGCUCACAAUUAACCAUCAACUAAUCAUAGAAAAGGAUCCAAACGCAACCAACACCUAGACUUAGGGUUUUAUCUGACAGAAUUCCACAAGUUUUGGUGUUUGUCUAUUUCUGCAGGGGGUUAUCAGGAAAUACGGAAGAAAGACCCACACAUCGGGUUUACAUAGAGAUAUUAACGUGCCGCACAAUUAUCUGCCAUCUAGAAGAGUCCAGAACCCACGGGAGCGAACGGGAGACGUGACGGGGCCGAGCACUGGGCGCCCGCCCUCCCUUACUGGGCGCCCGCCCUCCCCCCUGGACCAAUCAGGGUGAAGUUCGGGGAUCAUGCUCCACCGACCUAAUACUUCAAGGAAAACCACACGAUCAAUGUCCGUUUGAUCCGACGGCCCAGAUUCAUCUGAAAAGACUAUAUAAGCAAGGCCCCCUGGCCCCUGGAGAUCAUACCUCUUCUACAGAAUCAAAGUUAGGGUUUCAAUUCUUCAUCCAAGUAGAGAUGAUCCCUCUAGUUCUUCUAGUUCUACCUCUAGUUCAUCUAGAUCUAGUUCUAGUUCAUCUAGUUCUAGUUCUAGUUCCUCUAGUUCUAGUUAGUUCUAGUUGUAAUCUAGAAAAUAGGAAGAGAGAAGAGGAGAGCGGAGGAGGAGGAGCCGGAUCUGUCGGAUCUUCCUCAACAUUGUACUUUUGCAGCAACUGGUUCGUUCUUCAUCGUUCUCCAGGUUCUUCAAUUCAUAAUCCUGAGUUCUUUAAUUACUUUUAUUUACAUUCAAGUUAUUUAUUGGAUUCCCGCUUGCAUCAAGUGCUCUAAUCUUUGCAACAUUAGAGUAGUAAUUAAUAGAUUAGACGUGGUGUUUAGUCUUGCAAUUACCUGGAAUUGCACCCAAUCCUGCGGAUUGUUGUGGUAGCCUUAGGGUAGUGACAUCCCUAACGGUCGACAUAUUCCACCACGUUCGGAUCGGUGUUUGUAGGACCGUAGUCGGAGCUUCCUAGCCCCCUUCUCAUCUCUUUCUGUGGUUAGUGUUCUGAUGUCCCGAAAUAGAUAAUCUUGAAGUAAUUCUUGAUUCUUAGAUCAACUAGAGAACUCUCAGGAAACUUCCUCUCUUCCCACCAAAAAUAAUUAUAUAGUUAUCCUUGGGCGAUCUUGGAUCUUAAUUAGUACACUCACGUUCCCUGUGGAAAAUCGAUACUCUGGAAUACUCCCAGGUGAAGGCUACAUCGGUAUCCGUGCGCUUGCUGAUUUUUCUAUUUGCGUUUAAAAUACCCAACAAGCUUUCUGGCGCCGUUGCCGGGGAACGGUAGCUGUGCUAGUUUCGAACCAAGUCGUCCGUGUAUCCUUUUUCUUUUCCUUUUUUACCACACUCACCUUACCAUUUUCACCAUACCACAUGGAUUUCACUCUAAGCAUCAAUGAGCAUGGAAUUUAUUUCAUAGCCACUUCAUUUGCUCCAUGCUCAUAUGCAACAUCUUCCCAAUCCAUUGGUUUUUCCAACAUCACCACAUUCGAGAUCUCCAACCCCCUCAUCCUUUCUAUUUAUAAAAACUUUAAAAGGGCGGUUGUCGAUGCAGAUGUCUAUAUUAAAUAUUGCAGAUCUCGUUGAGUUGAUCUUGAUAUAGGUCAGAGUUGGAGCGGAAACCACUUCGCUGACAUAAAUUAAUGGUUUCCCAAGGACAAGCUUAGUGUCCAAAAAUAAGCACUGAUCAGAUCGUAACAUGAGCUUUGAAUUAUUUGCAACAUUACCUUGUGUGUUGAGCAUAUAAGAAUAAUUGUAAAAAUAUUCCUUCGGGUAUUCUUGUCACUAACCUUUCUAGGAUUGGAGCAAGAAGAUCGGAUGAAUGACAAGCACAAGGUAUGUACAACCAAUCAUCAUACAACAUUGAAUUAAAUUCAUCCAAACUUGAAUUUUGCAAAAUUCAAGCUUAGGGGAGUACUUUAUAUAAAAACAUCAUUUGCCAUGUUGCUAUGUUGGUUGUCCCUACCUUUGAGACAUGCUCAAUUUGUUAAAUAGUAAUCACACUACUUCAUCUCCACUUGAGUAGAUCUCUAUAAAAGUCAUCACGCUACCUUUGUUUAUCCUAGUAAGUGUUAGUUUGGAAGUACUGUACAUACUUCUAUUGGUUUUUAAAUUAAGCAUGGUGCUUAGGUUAAACAGCCUUCCUUAAUCUAAUUAUACAUGGAGUCUAGUUUGGUUAUUGAACUAAAAACUGCUUGUGUAGACAUUGGUAUAUUUUGUUGGACUAACCCCUGCAGGAAAACUUUCAACAUCGACGUGGGAAGUCCUGAGAUAAACUCACAUUGGAGACAAAGAGAGACACACAUGAAGUUUAACAAUUUACACAAGGAAGGCAUAGCUCACAAAAGAUGAUCCAUGGAGGGUGCCACAAACACAAUGCACAACCGCUGAGGGAGGAAAGCUUCCACAAGGUGAUACUGUACCAUCACUCUUCAAGUAAGGUAACAUCUUAAAGUACUUGACUAUCACUUCUAUAAGCUUCUCCUUGGUUCUGGCGUCCACAUGAAUAAAAAAGACAAACAUGUAUGAUUUAUAACUUUAGAUUAACCAACCCGGUCGAUUCAACAUGUUUAGUCCUUCCACCUUUGUGAUCCCUGUUGAUAUUUGGUAACGCAAUAAGGAAAUGAUCCGCAAGCGCACGGAUAUCGGUGAGCAUUUCACCCGGGAGGUUAUCCAGAGUUAUCGUAUUUAUAUUUUUACCACUGGGAGAAAGGGUGCAUCUGACUAACCAAAUCUAUUGCUACUAUCCCUUUAGGCACAAAGAAUGUCUUUCGAUGUGAGUGAUAAAUAGAGAAGACUGCAACCGUAGUCUCCUUCUAACCUUGGUAAGGAUGAUCUACUAUUCUAAUGGGGAGGCUAACGGAAUCUAGACACCACAAAGGAUGUUCAACCCGCACCUAUAAACCCUAUCCUUUCUGCUAACAAGAUGUGAUCUGUAAAGGUAACUCGGAAUUGUCACGUUCCUCACUACUACCAUGGUCCAGCUAGUCAGGCAAUAUCUAUGAGUACCCCAGCUUAAACACCACGUUUACGCCAGCAAUGAUUACUCUAAACUCUAUGCGAAGAGAUUAAAGUAAACUCAUAAACCAUAAGAACAAUAAAACAAGAACUUACUAGAAUUUAGAAGUCGAAAUACUGAAGAAUCCUAGGAGCAAGCUUCGGGUUAGGAGAACGUGAUCCCGCAGGUACAAGCUUGGAGUAGACACCGACAGGCCGGGCUUCCUCCAAUCUACACCUCCACUCUAUCUCUCUCAAUCUAGUAGAAACUAGAAGAUCUAUUUCUACCUUACAUUGGUUGCUAAGCCUAAAAAGAAAUAUUAAUUAGAGAAGAGGUUUUCCUUCGAGGGCACCCCUCAAUCUCUAUGAUAAUUUCUUCAUGUCUUCUCCAGGGGCCAGGGGGUCUCCUUAUAUAGUCCUCCCCUUCUAUGCGUUUUUGGGUCGAUAGGCGAGGUGGUACUAUGUUUUCCUUGAUCCAAUAGGUCGGUGGAACAUCCCGUGCGAAGAGAGUCCCGACUGGCAUCCAACAGGGGGCGGGCGCCCAGGUCACCAGGGCGGGCGCCCUGGGCCUGGCCCCUUUCGGCCUCCGUCUUCUUCCCAUGGCUUCUGGAGUCUUCUAGAUGGUAGAAAAUCGUGCGGUGCGUUGAUAUCUCUAUGUAAUCCCGACAUGUGGGCCUUUCUUCCGUAUUUCCUGAUAACCCCCUGCAGAAAUAGACAAACACCAAAACUCGUGGAAUUCUGUCAGAUAAAACCCUAAGUCUAGAUGUUGAUUUCAUUUGGAUCCUUUUCUUUGUUUAUUUGAUAAUUAAAUUUGAUACUUAAGGACCGUCAACAAGCUCCCCCAAGCUUACCUCUUGCUCGUCCCUGAGCAAGGAUAGACUCAACAGUGGAUCAGAAGUUGUUGCAAUAUCUUAAAGAUUUGACGGUACACAUGCUUUUAAUUUAGAUCUCAUCUCUGAGUUAGAGUAAACUGUCAAGAACUAAAACUUACUUACUUUACCUUUCACCAUGGGACUUGUAACCGUCACUUCUGUCUUAAGAGGUUAAAAGAUAGAACAGUCUAGCCAAGUGCAAUGUCUCUUAUUCUUGAUCAGCUAUAGCUCUGGGUUUUUUUUUGCAGAUUUUCAAAUAAAACUCAGAGAUUCCUUGUAUGACUCUCUCAUAUCUCUCUUUUGUGGUAUUUCUGGAUCCUUACCAAGGCAUUGAUGGUAUAUGCAUUCUCUCAAGAUAUGUGGUAUUUGUGGUAUAAGGCAUAGUGACAUUGCCUUCUCUCUCACCCUACUCUAAUAAGGCUUGAUAUCUGGAGCUCAUAGGUGGGAGACAGUUAAUACAUACUUAUAAGACAUUUAUUGCAUAGUCAAACCAUGGAUCCAGAGAAACAAAUCAAUAAGCCAAAUCAAGAUGUGCAUGUGUGGCGAAUGAAUGGUGUAUGGUGAUGAUGGUAAUAACAAUGGUGAAAGUCUAAUUCUACUUUUGCUCUUUCGAGGGGAUACAUACCUUCCUUGCUUUUUUAAACUUUAUGAGGAGAAUGAGAUGCUCUUCUUUUUCUUUCCUCUCAGGUGGGUAUCUUGUAACCCUAAUUCUACUGUCGGACACUUGUCCAUUUUUACCUCUCGUCUCACUUUUUCUUUCUUUCGAGGUUCCGGGCACUUGCCCCUUUUUAUUUCCUCGUUUAUAUUUUUUUUUCUUCUCUUUUCUUUCUCUUUUUUUUCAGAGCACUCAUCUCUUGAGGUAAUAUAGCAAGUGGUAGUAACCAAAAUAUUUGGAGCAUUUAUUUCACAGGGAAUAACAGGGAUAGAAAAAUAUUUUUGACUAUUCUCUCCCGGAUUAGGAGUAGAAUAUUUUUAGGUGAUUCUGGAGAUGGAAAUGGAUGGAUAUAUGUGGAUGGUACUUCCGGAGUAGAAGUAGCAUAUAUGAGUGAACGUGCAAGUGAAUCUUGAUUUAACCACAUGACAAGCUCCUAAGGGUCUACACAGCUUGACCACACUCAAUGCUCAUAAGCAGUAAAUAGUAAAUGUGUUGGUCAAAGUCUAGCAAGCAUGUAUAUAUGGCUGUGGUAGGAAUUUAAACUCUCAUCAUACAGGAACUCAUCAUGCAAUAUUUUAAAGAUUUUUCAAGAUAAAAUUUUCCAGAAUUCUAGCAUCUCAAGGAACAGAUAAACAGCAGCUCAACCUUCCCAUAUCAUAUCCGUUAACAACUUAGAUUUCAGAUCAAGUUUUCAUCCCACAAGUUUGGAUCUAGAGCAAGCUUUAAAUUAUAACAGUUAUGUCUAAACUUGAGAGAGAACUUCAAAAUUGCAAAUUAGGUAGAGCAACUAUUCAUCAUAUCCAUGCUAGAGUUUUAUUAUUAAGAUUCAGAUUAGCAUAGCCACUUUAUUUAUUUAUUAAACAUACUAAGCAAAAGAUAUAUAUAAGCACAAAAUCUUUAUUUGGUUUUUCAUAGUUUAUGUAUUUUAAUAUUCUAACAUAAUAUAAGUAUAAAGAUAGGUAGAAAUACUUAGCGAGAAUAAUGGGGGUGCUUUCCCCCAAGCUGAAUUUUGACGUAAUUUCUCUUGAUGUAGCUAGCAGGCGGCAGAGGUGUAUUUGAAAGUCAGCAGCAUUCUGACAGCGAUUAGAAUGUCCUCCGUCUGCUAGUCUUCUUGAUUCUUAAAUUCUGUGGAGCUCAAAUAGACAACAAAGCUUGUGGAACUAAUUAAGUGUUAGCAUAAAUAUCUAGCCUUCAUCAUGUUGAGCUUCCUUAAUAAAUGUUAUUUAUUUAGCAGGAUCAUACACUUAUUAUAUAUAUAUUAUAUAUAUUUUUAUUGUAAGAUGAAAACUUAUUUAUUUUAUUUUUAUGCCACCACAGUGAAUGUACUUAUGGGUUUUAUGCCAUGAGCAUACUCACAUGGGGCUUACUAUUUUUUUAACAUUUUUAUUUUCUUUUCAAGAUAGCAUGAACCUGAUUAACUAAGCAAAUUGUAAUUGAAUAAUUGAAAGGAAAGGGUAACUACCAAGUUUACCUCUUGGCAAGGCGUUCGGUAUUUUUAUGUCCUCCGAACGGGACUCUCUGUUUUCUCAGUCGUCCUGGGAUUCGCUAGGUGGCGUAGUCGGUGAUUCCGGCGGCGCCUCUCUUCGUGUAUAACUAUCUUCUCCCUCUACACCUGACUCGGUGCUACGGUCUCCUCAGGACAGUUCUGUUCAAGCUGUAUGUCUUCAGUCCUUAUCACUUUUCCUUCGUAGUCUACCCAUCCGUUCUUGAUGAUUUGCCUCCUCUGGUUGCGGUUGCGUCGUCUUCUUGUCCUGACCUGCUUAGAGUCUUCAACUAUAUAGUUAUGGUCAGUAAAAUAGUUGCGUACCUUCUCAGAGGGGAAGUACAUGUGGACUUCUCCGGUUCCAAUGUAGAUGAUUGCUU
rnacentral:lncRNA from 1 species